rnacentral:rRNA from 1 species
AAAUUGAAGAGUUUGAUCAUGGCUCAGAUUGAACGCUGGCGGCAGGCCUAACACAUGCAAGUCGAACGGUAGCACAGAGAGCUUGCUCUCGGGUGACGAGUGGCGGACGGGUGAGUAAUGUCUGGGAAACUGCCUGAUGGAGGGGGAUAACUACUGGAAACGGUAGCUAAUACCGCAUAACGUCGCAAGACCAAAGAGGGGGACCUUCGGGCCUCUUGCCAUCAGAUGUGCCCAGAUGGGAUUAGCUAGUAGGUGGGGUAACGGCUCACCUAGGCGACGAUCCCUAGCUGGUCUGAGAGGAUGACCAGCCACACUGGAACUGAGACACGGUCCAGACUCCUACGGGAGGCAGCAGUGGGGAAUAUUGCACAAUGGGCGCAAGCCUGAUGCAGCCAUGCCGCGUGUAUGAAGAAGGCCUUCGGGUUGUAAAGUACUUUCAGCGGGGAGGAAGGUGUUGAGGUUAAUAACCUCAGCAAUUGACGUUACCCGCAGAAGAAGCACCGGCUAACUCCGUGCCAGCAGCCGCGGUAAUACGGAGGGUGCAAGCGUUAAUCGGAAUUACUGGGCGUAAAGCGCACGCAGGCGGUCUGUCAAGUCGGAUGUGAAAUCCCCGGGCUCAACCUGGGAACUGCAUUCGAAACUGGCAGGCUAGAGUCUUGUAGAGGGGGGUAGAAUUCCAGGUGAAGCGGUGAAAUGCGUAGAGAGCUGGGGGGAUAGCGGUGGGGACGGCGGCGCUCUGGGCAAAGCCUGAGUCGCAGGUACGAAAGCGUGGCGGGGAAACAGGAUGAGAUGGCCUGGUAGUCCACGCCGUAAACGAUGUCGACUUGGAGGUUGUGCCCUUGAGGCGUGGCUUCCGGAGCUAACGCGUUAAGUCGACCGCCUGGGGAGUACGGCCGCAAGGUUAAAACUCAAAUGAAUUGACGGGGGCCCGCACAAGCGGUGGAGCAUGUGGUUUAAUUCGAUGCAACGCGAAGAACCUUACCUACUCUUGACAUCCAGAGAACUUAGCAGAGAUGCUUUGGUGCCUUCGGGAACUCUGAGACAGGUGCUGCAUGGCUGUCGUCAGCUCGUGUUGUGAAAUGUUGGGUUAAGUCCCGCAACGAGCGCAACCCUUAUCCUUUGUUGCCAGCGGUCCGGCCGGGAACUCAAAGGAGACUGCCAGUGAUAAACUGGAGGAAGGUGGGGAUGACGUCAAGUCAUCAUGGCCCUUACGAGUAGGGCUACACACGUGCUACAAUGGCGCAUACAAAGAGAAGCGACCUCGCGAGAGCAAGCGGACCUCAUAAAGUGCGUCGUAGUCCGGAUUGGAGUCUGCAACUCGACUCCAUGAAGUCGGAAUCGCUAGUAAUCGUGGAUCAGAAUGCCACGGUGAAUACGUUCCCGGGCCUUGUACACACCGCCCGUCACACCAUGGGAGUGGGUUGCAAAAGAAGUAGGUAGCUUAACCUUCGGGAGGGCGCUUACCACUUUGUGAUUCAUGACUGGGGUGAAGUCGUAACAAGGUAACCGUAGGGGAACCUGCGGUUGGAUCACCUCCUUACCUUAAAGAA